GUUGGAUGUUAGGGAAAACUUCCCAGUCUUUCAGAAAGGUGCUGGAAUGGGCUGCUCAGGAAGGUAGUGAAGUCACUGUCCCUGCAGGUGUUCAAGAAACAUUUAGAUGUUGUACAGAGGGAUAUGAUUUAGUGGGGAAAUAUUAGUGAUAGGCAGAAGGCUGGACUAGAUCACCUCAGAAGUCUUUUCCAACAUUGCUGACUUUAUGAUUCUAUGUAUAUAGGACUGUGUGUCUCCUAUUAAAUGGAAUCCAAUGAGAAAAUGUUUUGUUUUUUUUUUUAGAGGUUUGUCAUUCUUUACGUGAGUAUGAGUGUUUUCUUUAAAGUGCUUCAGCAAUUUUUAUGAAAGCGCAUCUCUGAGGAGCCAACGUACCAGUUCCAAAUACUGCAGGUGUUAUAAAUGGAAGUAAGAGAAGUAGUAAAUUCUAAUAACUUUCAAUUGCUAAGAAUUUUCCAUCUUUAAAGGAUUCUAAAACUCAUUUUGCCCUAGAAUAAAUGAUGCUGUUUUCUUAUUAAGUGAAAUUGAAUGACUUCUUCAACAGAGGCCAGAGGCAAUAAAUACAAAGUUGUAGAAUACUGCUAUCUAAGUAGGAUUUUAGUAAACAAGCAAAAAAAAAAAAUUCCCUGCUGUUUAUUAGUUAUGGUCCCUGAUUUACAUUUUUUUACUAUACACUUGUUACCAAUGGUGUGCUCAGAGCUGUGCAAAAUGUGACUGCUCCUUACUCCUUUAUGGUGGACAUCAGAAGGAAGUAUGUUUGUGAAAAGGCUUAGGCGACAGUGAUAACAGGAAGAGGGGGGAAAAAAAAAAAACCUUUGCCCCAAAUUCUUGGAAUAAUUUUCAUUUUUGGACCUCUAUAUUGCUUCAGUGAAAAAAGCAACAUGACCUUCUGAUAACUCAGUAUUCCAUAAUGUUUCUGGAAGUUGACACUUACAGCAAUUUCUUACCCUUUCUUGUCUUGAUGAGCUGAAUAAUGUGGUUUUCAAGACAGCUAUCUAAAAAUGCCCAGACAUUUCCUAAUAGUUUACACACUUGUAUGAGUGUAAUUUGCACUCAACUCUUGAAAUCCGCCUCCAAAGAGCAAUGAGAUCAUGGUCCAUGACAUAAAGGCCCAUGGACCUUGAUGCUGCUGGGGGGAAAUAUAAUAUUAAAAAUUUUCUUUUCUUAAAGCCUUUAGGAUUCACAUCGGUGUAUGCCAGACUAGACUUCAAUUUGGUUCAACAUAAAGUGUCUGUGUUGAUUAAAAUAAGAUUUUCUUAUUCAGAAAAACUGCAAUAGUUACCUCUUUCCUCACUUCACCCUUCUCCAUCAAAAAAACAGUAGAGACUGAGUCUAAAUAUCAGCACACCUCUUGUCCAUAAUUUUGUCUUGAUUCAUUACCUCUCUUGCUUUCAAGAAUGGCUGUGGCUUAUUUCCUGGGUUCAUCAUACUGUCUCUGAAUUGGCGUUUAUGGAAGUUAUUUUUUUUUACAUUUACCACUUUCUUAUGCUAGACAAAGACAUACUUGUGAAAUUUGGUCUCACUGAAAUGUCACUGAAGAGUAUGUGAGCAGUUUUUUUUUUCCUCAGAGUUUAGGUGAACACUCUUUAUCUAUAUCCCUGAUUACUACAAAUUGUAUAACUGUAAUCAUCCCAGUAAAGAAGAGUAAUUAAUAAGACUAAGCUCAUACUGAAACCUUUCCUUCCUUAAGCACUAAACUACACAUGAGCUGGACACAAUGAAUGUCCUAACAACAAUAAAACUUUAUUUUGGCACCUACUUAACAGACAUUUACACCCUAAAUCAUGUUUCCCUUUAUAGCAAACCACUCAUUGUUAUUUCUUUCGUUUGCAGAGCUACUUAUUUGCUUGGAAAUUAUUCAGUGUAUGAUUGAUUUUAAUAAUUAGGAAAUCUGUAUUUUAUUUUUAAUAACCAGGAAUAUAGAUAAAGAAGUAUCAUGCCUUUAAACUCUUCCAAGAUUAGUGCUGUUUACCUUCAUGCUUUCUGUAGCUUUAUUUGGAGGGGUGGGGGGGGCUGUGGAAAAAGAGUAAUGCCUAAGUUCCUGGGAACUUACGAAUAUCCCAAUGGAGAAUAGGAUUCAUGAUCAAAAUAAAAAGCCAAUCUUAAAGUUAUAUUAAAUCAGUCAGAUUUAGUUGUGUGAACUGCAGCUCCAGGCCCAUAUAAAACUAAGGGAAAAAAUAUUUGAG
ensembl:lncRNA